UGCUUCUUGGUGUAAUAAACACUUCUAAUUUGCACUUAGAGAAUGGGAAAUUUCCCAGAAGCAA
rnacentral:tRNA from 3 species